UGGAACAGCAGUACCUCCUGGUCGUCUCCCUAGGAGGGAGCACUAAUGAUCACCCCAUUUGCUGGGCUUACACUUGUCUUCUUAUCUUUGCCUCUACUAURCUAGUUUAUCUCAUUUCAUCCUGUUCACUACACACUGGAGUUGGGGUAUAGGAAUUUCUAUUUUGCAGAUGGGAAAUAAGGGCUGCAGAGAGGUGAAUCAGUGCUUUCCCCAAAACUUUCCUUUUAGGCCUACACAGAAAUGAUAAUAUUGGAACUUCAUCCCAAGGUGAACUGAUGGAGCUGCUCAAGGUGGAGAUAAAUGACCUUGGCCCCAGGUGCCACCUAGAAGUGGUGCUGAAAAUGGAGUUGGUGAGGCUGGUUGACGGAUACUGGAAAUAGAGCGCAAAGGAAUAGUGAGAUGCAGCCCAAAGGUGAGUGUGGGCCCAGGGGCGGGGAGKGGGGCAGCCAAUGCACCAUUAUUCAGAAGUGAAUGGGAAGGGUCCACACCAGUUCUCAGUUAGUGAAUCUGCAACCAGAGACUGAUAGACAAUGAGAACAAGUUUUGAAGACUGAGGAGGGCAGCGUCUGAAACUCUAGAUGAGAGGCCUUCAAUCUUCAACUCGGGUUGAGAGGGAGCUGGAUCAGAUCAAAUCAUAUUUUCUUUGGUAAGUGAUCUGUUCUCCAUAUGUAUCAACUUCUUAUUUAGAAAUGUGGUAUAAGUUGAUUUUAUCCAUAAAAAUACAGAUCUUCUGUUUCUAUUUAYUCUACAGGUGUCUGUAAAGCUCAUGGCAGUUCAUCUACUGAAUUUGACCCCAGAAAUCUCAGAUAACAGUAUGGGGCUGUGGUU
rnacentral:lncRNA from 1 species